rnacentral:misc_RNA from 1 species
GAUGAAGAACGUAGCGAAAUGCGAUACGUAAUGUGAAUUGCAGAAUUCAGUGAAUCAUCGAAUCUUUGAACGCACCUUGCGCCUUUUGGUAUUCUGAGGAGCAUGCCUGUUUGAGUGUCAUUAAAUUCUCAACCGCACUGACUUUGAAUUGGUGUGGCUUGGAUUUGGGGGGAAAAUUGUUGUGGGCUUUUUUGUAUAGUCUGCUCCCCUGAAAUUGAUUAGCGGUACCUUUGUGGAACUGUCUACAGGUGUGAUAAUUAUCUACAUCCUAGACAUCUGCUGGAAUGCUGCUUUCUAAACCUUACUUGUAUUGACAAUCUUGACCUCAAAUCAGGUAGGACUACCCGCUGAACUUAAGCAUAUCAAUAAGCGGAGGA